rnacentral:rRNA from 1 species
CAGUCGCCGCGGGAACACGAAGGGUGCAAGCGUUAAUCGGAAUUACUGGGCGUAAAGCGUGCGUAGGCGGUUUGUUAAGUCUGCUGUGAAAUCCCCGGGCUCAACCUGGGAAUGGCAGUGGAUACUGGCAAGCUAGAGUGUGUCAGAGGAUGGUGGAAUUCCCGGUGUAGCGGUGAAAUGCGUAGAGAUCGGGAGGAACAUCAGUGGCGAAGGCGGCCAUCUGGGACAACACUGACGCUGAGGCACGAAAGCGUGGGGAGCAAACAGGAUUAGAUACCCCUGUAGUCCCUGUCUCUUAUAC